rnacentral:lncRNA from 1 species
AAAUAGAGUAUCAUCGCUAGACUUUUAGAAAAAAACAAUUUCAACUGAUAGGGUUCUCCUGAAGAUAUUCAUCUUAACUGCGCCUUGUCUGAAAUACGUCUGCGAUAGUCUCACAGCCCUAUAAGGAUCGCUGUGCCCUCUCAAGUGAUAAAUAUAUCAUUAUCAUAUAUGUUGAUGUCGUGGGCGGUAUUUAUACGAAACUAAGAACAGAAUAGAUCAAGCAGACAAUAGGUAUUAGGCUUUAGGGCUCAAAACGUUAAACUGUCGCCUUUGCUAUGAGCUUUAUACCAAAUAUCCACAAAUGUUUAAGAAAAAUACUGAAAUUUGCAUAAGCAUCGACUGGCCAGCUGAUGUUAUCAAGAACAUUGACUAUACAUAACCUUUUAACCUCUUUCAAUUCUGUGGAUAUCUCAAGAGGUUAGCAUGGCUCAAUUCAAACACAAAGGCCCAUAUAGCUGGGGUACUUGAAACACGCCUUAUUAUAUUUGCUGUUCGUUUUCCUGUCGUAAUUAUAAAGCUUUGUACCUUCUGCUAUUGACAGCUAUAUUACAGCUGGUGCCACCUGCAUAGGCUUGGUUACAUAAUAGCCACAUAAUAAAAGAAUAUAUUUCUAGUGAUCGUUGGUGCUUCGUUGUUGCCUGCGACAAGGUACCUGCGUCAGAGUUGAUAUAUCCAUUCGAAAUCCUCUGAAACUCUCGCCUGCAAUUCAGCGGCAAAGACGAUACAGAAAGCGUGUUGAAACACCCAAACAGUUUACUGUAUUUGAAGAUGUCACCGAGGCUUGGUCGCUACAUAAUGGGCUGUGUUGGGUCUCGUCAGGACGAACAUCGUAAGAAGCAAACACAAGACGUCUCUGAAGCCUACGAACAAUCGAAUUGUAAGAAUAACACGGGAAGAAAAGGCGACGGAUCCGCGAUUCAGGCUGCCUCGGACGAUGGUAGUCCACCUGUUCACAUGCAACCAAAAAUAAGCAUGAUGUCCGAUCACACAUUGAAACUUCUCAAGGAAAUCGGCGAGUUAAAGUCAUUCACCGAAAUCGACCCGAGUGAAAUAAACUUAAAUAAGUACUCAGAUUUUAUCACGGCCCUGGAAAACCCCCAAGCCGCUGUGAACAACGUAAAAACGCGAAGCACGUAAUGGCACAUACCCGAGGGAUGUUACGACAACUUAGAUACAUUGGCCAUAGAGAUUGCUACAUUGGUUCGACGCGAAAUUAGUGUCACACCGUUUUGUGAGAUGUUGUAGUACACACAUUUAUACAAGUUGAAUGGCGUUUUAAAACAACUAUGAAUAUUGGAUCUUUUAGAUGGGUUUAAAGUAUCCCGUAAUAAUGUCUACUGCCGAUGAAGUUCGCGUUCUGGGGGAAUUCGGCCAGUUUUAAGAUCGAGACAGGGAAAACCAAUUACUUCGGUAAUUUUGUGGCUCGUAAACUAAUAGGUAACAUCGGUUUUAAAGGACCAAACACAACUCUUCUUUACCCGAACUUACUAAGCGGUAAUAAAGUCAAGAUAGUUCGCAGUAGUUUAGGAUCAAGGGGGUUUAGAUUCGCGUACUGAGUGUGGCAUUUCGACUAUUUAAGACGGGGAAACGGAUCAACACUUGUGGAUAAAGAAUAUUGAAAUUUAACAGAUGAAUAAUUACUCAUAUGAGCCACAAAGCAUCGCAGGAACGCCGCCAAAAACUCUUAUGACAAGGAGAAUAAGGAAACGUAGCGAACACACCAUAUAGUGAUACGAAAUAGCAGAUGAAUAUAAUUCGUAGAAAUGCACAGUGUAGCGAGCAAACUUCACUCAUAUUCGGACGCGUUUUCGUCCAUUCUGUGAUGCGCAUCAACAGGAAACACGUCGAACUAGAUUUGGCCAUCAGCUAAGAAUAAUUUAUAUAAAAAACGCCGGUUCGUAAAACCUUGCAGGCAAAGGGAUAUAUAGAAUAGUUUUAAUCAAUAUAUAUAAAUAUAUAUUUAUAUAGACAUUGUAAAAGGUUCGUGCUGUGAAUUCACGCCAAAUGGCAAAGCAUUUAGUUUUGAAUUUUUUGUACAUAGUUAACCGGAUUGAUUCCGGUUAGCUCGAAUGUCACACGGGCUAAUAAUAGAUGAACGUAGACUUGAGUAUUUUCGUUAGAAGCCGUGUAAUAUUCCAUUAUUCCCCGCUAGUCGGAGGGUAUUAAAUUUCUAUUACAUUA